UACGUAGGGUGCAAGCGUUAAUCGGAAUUACUGGGCGUAAAGCGUGCGCAGGCGGUUAUGCAAGACAGAUGUGAAAUCCCCGGGCUUAACCUGGGAACUGCAUUUGUGACUGCAUAGCUGGAGUACGGCAGAGGGGGAUGGAAUUCCGGCGUGUAGCAGUGAAAUGCGUAGAUAUGCGGAGGAACACCGAUGGCGAAGGCAGUCCCCUGGGCCUGUACUGACGCUCAUGCACGAAAGCGUGGGGAGCAAACAGG
rnacentral:rRNA from 1 species